rnacentral:rRNA from 1 species
GACGUAGGGCGCGAGCGUUGUCCGGAUUUAUUGGGCGUAAAGAGCUCGUAGGCGGCUUGUCGCGUCGACUGUGAAAUCCCGCGGCUCAACUGCGGGUCUGCAGUCGAUACGGGCAGGCUAGAGUUCGGUAGGGAGACGUGGAAUUCCUGGUGUAGCGGUGAAAUGUGCAAAUAUCAGGAAGAACACCUAUGGCGAAGGCAGCUCUCUGGGACGGUACUGACGCUGAGACGCGAAAGCGUGGGGAGCGAACAGG